AGCCCAGAGCCUGAAUCAGUGUGUGUGUUAGUGGAAGCGUCUGGAAAGGCGCGCGAUACAGGGUGACAGCCCCGUACACAAAAAUGCACAUACUGUGAGCUCGAUGAGUAGGGCGGGACACGUGGUAUCCUGUCUGAAUAUGGGGGGACCAUCCUCCAAGGCUAAAUACUCCUGACUGACCGAUAGUGAACCAGUACCGUGAGGGAAAGGCGAAAAGAACCCCGGCGAGGGGAGUGAAAAAGAACCUGAAACCGUGUACGUACAAGCAGUGGGAGCCUCUUAAUGGGGUGACUGCGUACCUUUUGUAUAAUGGGUCAGCGACUUAUAUUCUGUAGCAAGGUUAACCGAAUAGGGGAGCCGAAGGGAAACCGAGUCUUAACUGGGCGUUAAGUUGCAGGGUAUAGACCCGAAACCCGGUGAUCUAGCCAUGGGCAGGUUGAAGGUUGGGUAACACUAACUGGAGGACCGAACCGACUAAUGUUGAAAAAUUAGCGGAUGACUUGUGGCUGGGGGUGAAAGGCCAAUCAAACCGGGAGAUAGCUGGUUCUCCCCGAAAGCUAUUUAGGUAGCGCCUCGUGAAUUCAUCUCCGGGGGUAGAGCACUGUUUCGGCAAGGGGGUCAUCCCGACUUACCAACCCGAUGCAAACUGCGAAUACCGGAGAAUGUUAUCACGGGAGACACACGGCGGGUGCUAACGUCCGUCGUGAAGAGGGAAACAACCCAGACCGCCAGCUAAGGUCCCAAAGUCAUGGUUAAGUGGGAAACGAUGUGGGAAGGCCCAGACAGCCAGGAUGUUGGCUUAGAAGCAGCCAUCAUUUAAAGAAAGCGUAAUAGCUCACUGGUCGAGUCGGCCUGCGCGGAAGAUGUAACGGGGCUAAACCAUGCACCGAAGCUGCGGCAGCGACACUAUGUGUUGUUGGGUAGGGGAGCGUUCUGUAAGCCUGUGAAGGUGUACUGUGAGGUAUGCUGGAGGUAUCAGAAGUGCGAAUGCUGACAUAAGUAACGAUAAAGCGGGUGAAAAGCCCGCUCGCCGGAAGACCAAGGGUUCCUGUCCAACGUUAAUCGGGGCAGGGUGAGUCGACCCCUAAGGCGAGGCCGAAAGGCGUAGUCGAUGGGAAACAGGUUAAUAUUCCUGUACUUGGUGUUACUGCGAAGGGGGGACGGAGAAGGCUAUGUUGGCCGGGCGACGGUUGUCCCGGUUUAAGCGUGUAGGCUGGUUUUCCAGGCAAAUCCGGAAAAUCAAGGCUGAGGCGUGAUGACGAGGCACUACGGUGCUGAAGCAACAAAUGCCCUGCUUCCAGGAAAAGCCUCUAAGCAUCAGGUAACAUCAAAUCGUACCCCAAACCGACACAGGUGGUCAGGUAGAGAAUACCAAGGCGCUUGAGAGAACUCGGGUGAAGGAACUAGGCAAAAUGGUGCCGUAACUUCGGGAGAAGGCACGCUGAUAUGUAGGUGAAGUCCCUCGCGGAUGGAGCUGAAAUCAGUCGAAGAUACCAGCUGGCUGCAACUGUUUAUUAAAAACACAGCACUGUGCAAACACGAAAGUGGACGUAUACGGUGUGACGCCUGCCCGGUGCCGGAAGGUUAAUUGAUGGGGUUAGCGGUAACGCGAAGCUCUUGAUCGAAGCCCCGGUAAACGGCGGCCGUAACUAUAACGGUCCUAAGGUAGCGAAAUUCCUUGUCGGGUAAGUUCCGACCUGCACGAAUGGCGUAAUGAUGGCCAGGCUGUCUCCACCCGAGACUCAGUGAAAUUGAACUCGCUGUGAAGAUGCAGUGUACCCGCGGCAAGACGGAAAGACCCCGUGAACCUUUACUAUAGCUUGACACUGAACAUUGAGCCUUGAUGUGUAGGAUAGGUGGGAGGCUUUGAAGUGUGGACGCCAGUCUGCAUGGAGCCGGCCUUGAAAUACCACCCUUUAAUGUUUGAUGUUCUAACGUUGGCCCCUGAUCGGGGUUGCGGACAGUGUCUGGUGGGUAGUUUGACUGGGGCGGUCUCCUCCUAAAGAGUAACGGAGGAGCACGAAGGUUGGCUAAUCCUGGUCGGACAUCAGGAGGUUAGUGCAAUGGCAUAAGCCAGCUUGACUGCGAGCGUGACGGCGCGAGCAGGUGCGAAAGCAGGUCAUAGUGAUCCGGUGGUUCUGAAUGGAAGGGCCAUCGCUCAACGGAUAAAAGGUACUCCGGGGAUAACAGGCUGAUACCGCCCAAGAGUUCAUAUCGACGGCGGUGUUUGGCACCUCGAUGUCGGCUCAUCACAUCCUGGGGCUGAAGUAGGUCCCAAGGGUAUGGCUGUUCGCCAUUUAAAGUGGUACGCGAGCUGGGUUUAGAACGUCGUGAGACAGUUCGGUCCCUAUCUGCCGUGGGCGCUGGAGAACUGAGGGGGGCUGCUCCUAGUACGAGAGGACCGGAGUGGACGCAUCACUGGUGUUCGGGUUGUCAUGCCAAUGGCACUGCCCGGUAGCUAAAUGCGGAAGAGAUAAGUGCUGAAAGCAUCUAAGCACGAAACUUGCCCCGAGAUGAGUUCUCCCUGACUC
rnacentral:rRNA from 1 species